AACGAACGCUGGCGGCAUGCCUAACACAUGCAAGUCGAACGAGAUCUUCGGGUCUAGUGGCGCACGGGUGCGUAACGCGUGGGAAUCUGCCCUUUGGUUCGGAAUAACGGUUGGAAACGACUGCCAAUACCGGAUGAUGACGAAAGUCCAAAGAUUUAUCGCCAGAGGAUGAGCCCGCGUAGGAUUAGCUAGCUGGUGUGGUAAAGGCGCACCAAGGCGACGAUCCUUAGCUGGCCUGAGAGGAUGAUCAGCCAAACUGGGACUGAGACACGGCCCAGACUCCUACGGGAGGCAGCAGUGGGGAAUAUUGGACAAUGGGCGAAAGCCUGAUCCAGCAAUGCCGCGUGAGUGAUGAAUGCCUUAGGGUUGUAAAGCUCUUUUACCCGGGAUGAUAAUGACAGUACCGGGAGAAUAAGCUCCGGCUAACUCCGUGCCAGCAGCCGCCGUAAUAC
rnacentral:rRNA from 1 species